AAUAAGUAUAGUUUUGUACUAUUUACGUUCAAUAUUUGAUCGUUCAUCUUAUUUAAAAUUUUUUAAUAAUUAUUAUUUUUAUUGCUAUUAGAUGAUAAGACAUAAAUAGUACUUUAUGUGUAACUAAAUAUUUUCAAAUUUUUCAUAAAUUUUUCAAAUAAGACGAUCGGUCAAAUGUUGGGCACGGAUAUCAACGGCUGCAUUUAAU
rfam:Oryza glumipatula chromosome 7, whole genome shotgun sequence.